rnacentral:rRNA from 1 species
CAGCCGCCGCGGUAAUACCGGCGGCCCGAGUGGCGGUCACUAUUAUUGGGCUUAAAGCGUCCGUAGCCGGGUUGGGAAGUCCUCCGGGAAAUCUGGCCGCUUAACGGUCAGAAUGCCGGAGGAUACUCCCAGCCUAGGGAGCGGGGGAGGCCGAGGGGAUUCCCGGAGUAGGGGUGAAAUCCUAUAAUCCCGGGAGGACCACCUGUGGCGAAGGCGCUCGGCUGGAACGCGUCCGACGGUGAGGGACGAAGGCCAGGGGAGCAAACCGGAUUAGAUACCCGGGUAGUCCUGGCGGUAAACGAUGCGGACUUUGUGUCGGACAAGCUAUGAGCUUGUCCGGUGCCGGAGGGAAACCGUUAAGUCCGCCGCCUGGGGAGUACGGCCGCAAGGCUGAAACUUAAAGGAAUUGGCGGG